UAUUAUUUUAGAUGUAAAAUAUUUAAACUUGAGUAGUAGUAGAAUAAGGUCUUGAAACUUAAAGAAUUUGGCGGUAUUUUAGUCUAUUUAGAGGAAUCUGUCCCAUAAUCGAUAAUCCGCGUUGGACCUUACUUAAAUUAUAUAAAUAUGUAUACCGCUGUUGUUGAAAAUCUUUUUAGAGUUAAUUUUUUUAAAAUUUGUUAAAUAAUUUUUCAGGUCAAGGUGCAGUUUAUAUUUAAGAGGAGAUGGAUUACAAUAUUUAUUUAAUAUACGAAUUGCUAUUUGAAAUUUGAUUAGCAUGAAGGUGGAUUUAAUAGUAAUAUUAUGAAGAUUGUUAAUAUGAUUGUAGCUCUAAAAUAUGUACACAUCGCCCGUCGCUCUCGUUAUAUUUAAGGUGAG
rnacentral:rRNA from 1 species